ensembl:snRNA U6 U6 spliceosomal RNA
GUGCUCACUUCAGCAACACAUAUACUAAAAUUGGAAUGAUACAGAGAAGAUUAACAUGGCCCCUAUGCAAGCAUUGCAUGCAAAUUUAUGAAGUAUUCCACAAAUUU